UGUCUUGCUCCUGGUCUGCAACCCCUGGCAAUUUCCGGAGCACUGGUGAGAGACCUUCGCACAAUUUCUGCUUGGAGUCCACCGACUUCCCGUCUCGGGUGGAGGUUUAUCUCUCGAUCAAGGUCUGGACAGCUACCUGUUAUAUUUGGCUCAUGCUAGCUGAAAAAAAGAAUUUACAGCCUGUGCUGCAGAAUAUCCCAGUUCUUCAAGGCCAAGGGUCCUGCUGCGUCUCCAUGGCUGUGUGGUUACUGGAAAGGAAAGUGGAUGGUGGAUUUCAGCUGUCUUUCCUCUAUGAAGCAUGUACGUGUUGGGGAGAAGAGCAGUGAAACCGCCCGUGAUCGUGAGCCACAGCCCUGCUGCUCCCUGGCGAAAUAUAGGGCCCCAGGACCUCUGCUUGUGGGGUGGGUACAUCCCACAGUGGUUUUGGUGCUGAAGAUGUCCAUUAUUUGCACCUCAUCAAUUAGGCUUGCACAACCAUUCUGAGUAAGUGAGAGGGGCUAGGGAUACAGCUGAGUGGCACAGCGCCUGCUUGGCAAGUGCAAGGUCCUGAGUUCAAUUCCUGGUUCAAU